rnacentral:lncRNA from 1 species
CAGGGAUGCAUAUAGACAUGCUUCUGAAGGCAAGGGGGAAAUAGCUGUGUUGUUCAUUCCUCAACAUGUGCAUAAAAUACAGCAAAUUCCAGGCUCUAAUUAUGUAGAUGGCUUUAUUAGCUAAGGUGACAUGUCACAACUCUUUAUCUCCACCUAGACUUUGGGCUUACUCUUUUGCUAUCUUUUUUACAGGAAUACUGAGAGAGGAAAAAUUGCAGUUAUACAGUCAACAGUGGUGAAGCUCUAAACCACCCAAGAACUUGUUACUGCAUUACAGACCUACCAUGAACGCGCUGUUCCAGCUCUGUGGACCCAAAGGCCACCUGAAGACAGCAGCUUCAGAUGUUCACAACUCCCUGCCUUCAUUCUCCUCUAGACAUCUCUCUGGACUGAUGCAUUCAGAGCAAACCCAUUGGCUGGAAGCAAAAAAGACAGUUCAGUUACACCCCAGAUUUGCAUCACUUCAAAGACGCUGAGGAUGAAGGAAGAGUCUGUAUCUGCACCCUUCACCCAGCCGAGGGGAGAUAAGAGACAAAAAGCCUGGGAUGCUCCGUGAGAUCGUGUUCUCCCUCUUCCAGCAUCAAGCCUUUGCAGUGCACACGGACACCAGGCCAGGAGCUAAGGGUGCAAGGCAUUUCUGCUUUAGGUGGAGAAGUAUUUGCGCCUUUUUUCAUGUUUUAAUCAAAUUGCAGACGUCUCAGCUGACAGACACUCCCCCUUUCGUGAGCCUCUUUCAACAGAGUCCAUUUCCUUGGAAAUCAAUCUCAAAAGAAAGGCUGGACGGUAGGCUGCAAUUUGUCGAAACUGCAUAAAGAAACCGAAGGAAGCAAGGACUGGUAUUCCAG